rnacentral:rRNA from 1 species
GUGGGGAAUUUUGGACAAUGGGCGCAAGCCUGAUCCAGCAAUGCCGCGUGCAGGAAGAAGGCCUUCGGGUUGUAAACUGCUUUUGUACGGAACGAAACGGUCCGGGUUAAUACCCUGGGCUAAUGACGGUACCGUAAGAAUAAGCACCGGCUAACUACGUGCCAGCAGCCGCGGUAAUACGUAGGGUGCAAGCGUUAAUCGGAAUUACUGGGCGUAAAGCGUGCGCAGGCGGUUUUGUAAGACAGGCGUGAAAUCCCCGGGCUCAACCGUGGAGUGGCACUUGUGACUGCGAGACUGGAGUGCGGCAGAGGGGGAUGGAAUUCCGCGUGUAGCAGUGAAAUGCGUAGAUAUGCGGAGGAACACCGAUGGCGAAGGCAAUCCCCUGGGCCUGCACUGACGCUCAUGCACGAAAGCGUGGGGAGCAAACAGGAUUAGAAACCCGAGUAGUCC